GUUAGAACAUGGUCCAUUCGGAGGGAGAUUUUAAGGACCUUGAAAACUAUUGAAUCCAUCAAAAGGAGCUUCUAGAAAGAAGUAGAUGCAUUUCCCCCUCUCUCUGUGGGAAAGUCAAGUGGUCCAUGCAAUUUGAUGUGCAGUGUUUUUGCCAGCAUCUUGGGCACAGCUCCACCUCAGAUGAUGUUAUCGGCCGGAUACACAGUGAUAGAUCAUUGGAGGAGGCUUACAUAGGCGCAGGAUUCGCGCCAAAGACGUCCGGACAGGCAUCAGGAGAAGAGAGCGUGCGGUGAUGACGUCAGUGCCGCAUGCAUCCGACCCGACACAGCCCCUGGCAAC